ensembl:miRNA
CUAUAUGCAGUGGACCAGGAUGGCAAGGGCUCUCGUGAAAGGACAGUAGAGCCCUUGCCAUCCUGGUCCACUGCAUAUAG